GAGCAACUGCUGUGUUGGUGACUGCCAAUAAAGUUUUUUGAUCUAUGCUUGAAAAACUUUGGGAGCUAUUAAAUGUUUCGUCGCAGUAAACCGAGCGAGUACUCGGAAACGAAGACUGAAAUGAUCGGCACCCACCUGGAUAACACCAGGUCAUAAACUGAGGUAAAACGGCGCGGCGGUUCUCU
rnacentral:other from 1 species